GCCACCUUGAAGUAGUGGUUAACUUACCGGAGUCCGAUUUGUGUAGCCUUGCGUUACCCGAGAUCCGGGUACGCGUGUUCGAAUCACGCAGGUGGCC